UUUGGUGGUCAUGGCGGGGAAUUAAACGCUCCAUCCCAUCCCGAACUGGAAAGCGAAAGUCCUCAGCGGCAAUGGUACUGUAUCAUUUGAUAUGGGAGAGUAGCACGCUGCCAGGC
rnacentral:rRNA from 1 species